rnacentral:tRNA from 1 species
GUCAAUGUAGCUUAUGACAUAAAGCAAAGCACUGAAAAUGCUUAGACGGGUACUACACCCCAUAGACA